AAUUUGAUAGUAUAUUUUACAUUUCACUUACAAUGAAAAAAAGCUUCGCUCUAGAGAAGUUAGUUUA
rnacentral:tRNA from 1 species